ensembl:lncRNA
CUUAUUUUGUUGCUCAGAACACCUUACUACUGUUAAUAGUUAGGAGUUUUAUAUUUUACUUUUCUUUGACAGAAAAGAAAGAAAUGCAUUUCUCUAAAAUGUCGACAAACCCAAGGGAGGCUGCCCUUGUCUGUGCUGCCUUUUGCACUCAGUGGAACACAGCAGAAGUGAGAGGCCUUUGAAAUGCAGCACAGUGUCCGGUGCCUAAAGCCGAAGUUAAAUGAAAAAAACACCCCCAAUUCCAUAAGUUCAAGCUUGUUUAGGAAAAGAGAAAAGCAAGUUUCAUAGGUCAUUCCAAUGUGCAGCCAGGUUUGAGAAUCAAUGUUAUAGACCAGUGGCUCUUAAACGUGAAUGUGUGUCAGAGUCACCUGGAGAGCUUGUUAAAACACAGAUUCUGGGCCCCGCCUCCAGGAUUUUCUGGAGGCCCCGGCAUGAACCUCGUUGUUAUGAAUCUGAGCUGGGGGAAAAGAGGAGAAAAGGAAGAAGUGUGGAGAGAAUUCAGUAAUAUCUGCCUCCCAACUUCAAAUGACAAAGGCUAGGCUGGAACCAAAGUUAUUCUUCUCUAG